rnacentral:rRNA from 1 species
UCAAAUCGGAUGUGAAAUACCCGGAGCUCCACCCUGGGAAAUUCCAUCGAAAUGGGCAGGCAGAGUAUAGUAGGAGGGGGGUAGAAUUCCAGGUGUAGCGGUGAAAUGCGUAGAGAUAUGGAGGAAUACCGGUGGCGAAGGCGGCCCCCUGGACAAAAGACUGUCGCUCAGGUGCGAGAGAGUAGGGGAGCAAACAGGAUUAGAUACCAUGGUAGUCCACGCCGUAAACGAUGUCGACUUGGAGGUUGUGCCCUAGAGGCGUGGCUUCCGGAGCUAACGCGUUAAGUCGACCGCCUGGGGAGUACGGCCGCAAGGUUAAAACUCAAAUGAAUUGACGGGGGCCCGCACAAGCGGUGGAGCAUGUGGUUUAAUUCGAUGCAACGCGAAGAACCUUACCUACUCUUGACAUCCAGAGAACUUUCCAGAGAUGGAUUGGUGCCUUCGGGAACUCUGAGACAGGUGCUGCAUGGCUGUCGUCAGCUCGUGUUGUGAAAUGUUGGGUUAAGUCCCGCAACGAGCGCAACCCUUAUCCUUUGUUGCCAGCGGUUCGGCCGGGAACUCAAAGGAGACUGCCAGUGAUAAACUGGAGGAAGGUGGGGAUGACGUCAAGUCAUCAUGGCCCUUACGAGUAGGGCUACACACGUGCUACAAUGGCGCAUACAAAGAGAAGCGACCUCGCGAGAGCAAGCGGACCUCAUAAAGUGCGUCGUAGUCCGGAUUGGAGUCUGCAACUCGACUCCAUGAAGUCGGAAUCGCUAGUAAUCGUAGAUCAGAAUGCUACGGUGAAUACGUUCCCGGGCCUUGUACACACCGCCCGUCACACCAUGGGAGUGGGUUGCAAAAGAAGUAGGUAGCUUAACCUUCGGGAGGGCGC